rnacentral:lncRNA from 1 species
GCACAAUAAAAAAAAAAUAUUGAUAUCACAUAGACUUGUUGAGUAUCAAAGUAUUUCGCUAAGUUGUAUAGCUAGGAAAGAUUGAAUGUUUUGAAGGUUUAAUGAUUUGGUUUCAGAAAAUCUGCAACUAUAAAAAGCGUUUUGAAAUUAUUAGAUUUCAUCACAAUAAAAGACAAACCAAAUCCCUAUUCUUUCUAUUGCUAUAGAAAAUCAAAGUUUGAAGGUGGGGUAAACUCAUGUGACUAACGUCCUUCUCAAUGCAUGUUUUCCACUACUUUUCCAUCAAGACUUUAACAAAUACAUGUUUUACACUAUUUUUCCAUAUUUUUUCAUAUUCUCUUGACCUUAACCUUUAAUUGGAAACUAGACCGACACCCAACCACUAAUAAGUUCCAAUGGCUUCUCCCGAAAGGAUUCCACGGACCAUGACAUAAGUGCGAACGAACCUAAGGAGAAACACCAAAGAAGCCCAUAACACAGAGCAAAGAUGAACAACCAACAAGUUAUGUGCCACAUGAACACACAGACUAAAGGUGAACAUCCAACAUGGUCCAUGACACAAACCUUCCAAGCACAAAUGGACGACUGAGAAGUAGAAGCCAAACCAUACAAACACAAUCGGGCCCCAAAGCCCACACCAUCAAACUCGAUCAGCACAUGAGUAGAUGCUACCAAGGUUUUUUACCAAGGAACCACUUGCACAAAGAAAGUUUCACCCUAUGCAUCAGAUGCUCGACGGAAAGAGAUCCACCAACAAAGAUUAUAUCAUUGGGUGAGCUUUCAGGUUCUUCUAUCUUGUCUACUCGACACUAGCUAUGGGUCAAACCUAACAAUAUAUGUCACACGUAACACAUUAGUAGAAAUAGAUUCAUGGCAAACCUAUUAAACUUGAUACAUAUUCAAAAAGGAAAAUGCUAUUUCCAGCGAAGGAAAUGAAUCAAGAAUUUUUUCAGACACAGCUGACAAGUUUCAAUUGCAU